rnacentral:rRNA from 1 species
AGCGAACGCUGGCGGCAGGCUUAACACAUGCAAGUCGAACGCAUCCUUCGGGGUGAGUGGCAGACGGGUGAGUAACACGUGGGAACGUGCCCUUCGGUUCGGAAUAACUCAUGGAAACGUGAGCUAAUACCGGAUACGCCCUUUUGGGGAAAGAUUUAUCGCCUUUAGAGCGGCCCGCGUCUGAUUAGCUAGUUGGUGAGGUAAAGGCUCACCAAGGCGACGAUCAGUAGCUGGUCUGAGAGGAUGAUCAGCCACAUUGGGACUGAGACACGGCCCAGACUCCUACGGGAGGCAGCAGUGGGGAAUAUUGCACAAUGGGCGAAAGCCUGAUGCAGCGACGCCGCGUGGGGGAUGACGGCCUUCGGGUUGUAAACCCCUUUCAGUCGGGACGAAGCGAGAGUGACGGUACCGAUAGAAGAAGCACCGGCCAACUACGUGCCAGCCGCCGCCGUAAGAC